ensembl:lncRNA
AGACGGCAGCCCACCAGGCUCCACCGACCCUGGGAUUCUCCAAGCAAGAACACUGGAGUGGAUUGCCAUUUCCUUCUCCAAUGCAUGAAAGUGAAAAGUGAAAGGGAGGCCGCUCAGUCGUGUCCGACUCUUAGCGACCCCAUGGACUGCAGCCCACCAGGCUCCUCCGUCCAUAGGACUUUCCAGAAAAAGAAAGAAAGUGAAGUCCCUCAGUCAUGUCCAACUCUUUUGCAACCCCAUGGACUAUAGCCUACCAGGCUCCUCCAUCCAUGGGAUUUUCCAGGGAAGAAGAGACUCAUGUAUGGUGGUGCAAUUGAUCUAGGCCCAAACCAUUGAGCUGUUGAUCCAUCCUGACCAUUGAAUUUCCUUUUCAUUUUCGAACUGAGCUCAGAAAACCAUCUUUAUACAGGAGUGGCUCAAUUUGGCAACUCCAGGUAAAGCUUCUGUUUGGCAUAAGUGCGCAGGCCUGCAUUCAAGCCCUGCCUCAACCUUCCAAUUGCUGGCACCCUCAUGAGUGCUGGCUUCUUC